UACAGGGGGGGCAAGCGUUGUUCGGAAUUACUGGGCGUAAAGGGCUCGUAGGUGGUUUGUCACGUCUGCUGUGAAAUCCCCGGGCUUAACCUGGGAAUGGCAUUUGGGACUGCAUCGCUGGAGUGCGGCAGAGGGGGAUGGAAUUCCGCGUGUAGCAGUGAAAUGCGUAGAUAUGCGGAGGAACACCGAUGGCGAAGGCAAUCCCCUGGGCCUGCACUGACGCUCAUGCACGAAAGCGUGGGGAGCAAACAGG
rnacentral:rRNA from 1 species